rnacentral:rRNA from 1 species
UGAAUACGAAAUGCUACGGCAUUGAAGUGAUCUAUGCCAGGCUUCCAAGAAAAUCUCGUCAUAUCUUAAGCAGUAGAUGCCUGUACCUUAAACCGACACAGGUAGGUAGGUAGAGUAUACCAAGGGGCGCGAGAUAACUCUCUCUAAGGAACUCGGCAAAAUAACCUCGUAACUUCGGAACAAGAGGUACCCUUGAAAAAGGGUUGCAAUAACCAGACCCUGGCGACUGUUUACCAAAAACACAGGUCUCCGCUAAUUCGUAAGAUCAAGUAUGGAGGCUGACGCCUGCCCAGUGCCGGAAGGUUAAAGAAGUUGGUCAAUCUUUGGAUGAAGCUGGCGACUGAAGCCCCGGUGAACGGCGGCCGUAACUAUAACGGUCCUAAGGUAGCGAAGUUCCUUGUCGGGUAAGUUCCGACCCGCACGAAAGGCGUAACGAUCAGGGUGCUGUCUCGGAGAGAGACUCGGCGAAAUAGACAUGUCUGUGAAGAUGCGGACUACCUGCACCUGGACAGAAAGACCCUAUGAAGCUUUACUGUAUCUUGGAAUUGGGUUUGGGCCUUGCUUGCGCAGGAUAGGUGGGAGGCUGUGAAGAUAUUCUUGCGGGAAUGUUGGACCCAACGGUGAGAUACCACUCUAGUAAGGCUAAAAUUCUAACUCUGAACCGUUAUCCGGUCAGAGAACAGUUUCAGGUGGGCAGUUUGACUGGGGCGGUCGCCUCCUAAAAUGUAACGGAGGCGCGCAAAGGUUCCCUCAGGCUGGUUGGACAUCAGUCGUAGAGUGUAAAGGCAUAAGGGAGCUUGACUGCGAGACCCACAAGUCGAGCAGAGACGAAAGUCGGCCUUAGUGAUCCGACGGUUCCACGUGGAAGGGCCGUCGCUCAACGGAUAAAAGUUACUCUAGGAUAACAGGCUAAUCUCCCCCAAGAGUUCACAUCGACGGGGAGGUUUGGCACCUCGAUGUCGGCUCAUCGCAUCCUGGGGCGGUAGUACGUCCCAAGGGUUGGGCUGUUCGCCCAUGAAAGCGGUACGCGAGCUGGGUUCAGAACGUCGUGAGACAGUUCGGUCCAUAUCCGGUGCAGGCGUUAGAGCAUUAGAGGAGUCCCCCUUAGUACGAGAGGACCGGGGGGAAUACACCGCUGGUGUACCAGUUAUCGUGCCAACGGUAAACGCUGGGUAGCCAUGUGUAGCGCGGAUAACUGCUGAAAGCAUCUAAGUAGGAAGCCCACCUUAAGAUGAGUGCUCUCACCGCUAUAAGCGGGUAAGGUCACGGUAAGAACAACCGUUAUAUAGGCAUUAAGUAUACGUGCAGUAAUGCAUUUAGCUGAGAUGUACUAACAGACCGAGGGCUUGAUC